rnacentral:rRNA from 1 species
UACGUCGGGUGCAAGCGUUGUCCGGAAUUAUUGGGCGUAAAGAGCUCGUAGGCGGUCUGUCACGUCGGCUGUGAAAUCCCGAGGCUCAACCUCGGGUCUGCAGUCGAUACGGGCAAACUAGAGUAUUGCAGGGGAGACUGGAAUUCCUGGUGUAGCGGUGAAAUGCGCAGAUAUCAGGAGGAACACCGGUGGCGAAGGCGCCGCUCUGGGCCGAAACUGACGCUGAGGAGCGAAAGCAUGGGUAGCAAACAGG